UAUAUAUAUAUGUAUAUAUAUAUAUAUAUAAUCCAGUGCUUAAAACUUAAAAUGAAAUUGCGAACGAAAUGCUUAAAACUUGAGGGCUCGUGAUCUCGACAGCCUCUCCUACGAUUUCCUCCGCGAAACCGUGAAAACCGUUUCCAAUACUCUUCGCUCCACUUCUGACCUUUCCCAGCCAUCGAUCGACCUCUUUGCGAUUUCUACAUCCCUGCCAUUACACCGUUUGCUCACCCUAUAACAACACAAUUCGAAUUGUUCUUGAAAAAUUCUUCUUUUUUGAUAUAUAUAUAUAGAUGGAAAUUUUUCUUCUUCUUUCGAGGGAAGAGGAGGAUGAGGUUUUUUCGAUCACGAUAAAAUUAAUCUCGUGGAAAGAUCGGUGGUGAAUAUUAGAGGGAAUUAACGAGAACGACAACAGCAAGGGUGCGAACGAUGCGUUCAAUAUUGAACUUGUCGUCCCAGUUGGCCAUUGUUUGAGCAUCGUUUCACGACCGUCCCUUCCCCUUCACCGCUCGCCACCGCGAAUUAUCGAAAUCUUUUAACCCUGUUUCACGCAUCCCACCCCCUUUUCCCUUGACCACCUAUUCUCAUUCGAAACCAGGAAUCUUUCCAUCCGAAAUAUUCGAUAAAUCGCGCGGAAAUACGAAUAAUAUAAAGGGAUCGAAGGAGAUAGUUUCCUCAUCGAUUUCACGUUGAAUCAAUAAUCUCGUCGAUAUAUAUAUAUAUAUUCAAAAAUAAUUUUGUUAUAACAACUCCUCAUUGUUGUAAUAUUUAAUUCCACUUGGCAAUAUUCAACGAAACGAGUCAUCUUCUCUCUCCAUUCCGAUAGAACAGAAAUAUUCUAUUAAUAUUAUAAACCCAUUUUGUUUCUUUUCUUUUUCCAAUUAACAACAACACGUAUACUCCUAUAAUUUUCAUAAAGGAAUCAAUCAAAGAGAUCGAAGAACGGAUGGGAGGAAAAUAAUUUCUUGCCGACGAACGAUAAUCCGGAUAAAUCCGAUCCUCUUUCUCGCAAUGUGUCGAAUUUUUUUUUACAACCGCGUCGAAUCGAAAAAUUUCAUCCUUUGUCGAGUUGAAAUUCAAUAAGCUUAUCAACGGAGGACUUGGAAGGGGGGGAAAUAACGAAUUAAGUGGAUUAAAGGAAAUAGUUUGGAGGAGGGAAGGGGGGAUUGAUCGUUGGGAAAAGGUGUUCGAGGCAGAUGCGCGAGAGGAGCGGAUAGCGGACAAAUUGCAAUUCCGGCUCGCAGCUUCUGCAAUUGUCGGUUGAUGGCCGGUUCCGUGUCGCGGGCUCGUUACAAGCGCGGCCAAAAGGUAAUUUCUUAACCGGCGUAAUAACACGUAUUCCUGUGUACACACAUCGGCCGUCGUCGGCCACUUUUCCGCAACUAUUAGCCCAAUUAGCCCCUCCCCUCCCCCGGCCUCGAUGCGCCGCCGUCAACUGUUGCACGCGAGAGCUCUGGCGACGGAAUCGACGGAUUCGAAUCGCGUCUGCCUCGAAUCGAUCAAUUAAACCAUUUCGCCACGAAUUCGCGCUGUGAACGAAUGUCUCUGGAAAUGUCAUCGGUCGUGGAAGGAGGUGAUUUUUUUUCCCGGAUGAUUGGAAUUUUUUUCGUUUGUUUGUUUUUUGUUUUUUGUUUUUUCGACUCGUGGAACUCGUGCACGAAUUCUCACCGAUUGAAAUUCGUCGAUGGGUAUUGUAUCGUGCGUGUUAGUCGUAUUGACGAAUCGAUUUCACGUGAUUUCACGUGAUUUCGAGAAAGGAAUUAGUGUCGUGAUAAUUUUUAAAGGAAAACUCGUUUCCUCUGUUGAUGUUAAUUCAAUGAUUUUUAAAUAGUAGUUUUAAAUCGUACUUUCUAAUUUCUUCUUUUAUAUUUUAUGGUGGAAAAAAAAAUUGUUCGAAUUUGACCGUUCUUUGUUUCAAAUCUAACAGAUAAUCGACGAUGAUUGGACGAGUAAUUAAAUUUUUUUUUCGAAAAUAUUUCGUCUCGUGAUAUUUUUCAUUUUAUAUUUGUACUUCGGUCGAAAUCUUUUUCCAAGCAAUUUAUAUCUUCUCUCGAUCGAUGAGUACACACUUAUCUCGCCCCCCUUUUUCACACUUUUUAUCCCGAAUCGGGCGACAAUUCUUCUUUUAACACCGAUCCCAAUUAACCAACAACAAUGUUUCAAUCGAGAUAUCCUCUAUCAUUCUUCUUCUCUCGAUUGAUCAAAGAAUCACGGAGAGAAAACACAUUUAUCUCCAAUUAAAACACGCAUUCAUCCAAACUCGUCAUCCCUCUUCACACCCCCUUCACAACCAAUUAUACAAUUUUCCGGACGUUUAACCACCGACAAUAUCGAUUGAAAAAAAAAAAAGGAUCGAAGUUAGAAAAUUUUCCAAAACCUCUCACCUCUCUCUUUUCACUUCUUCUCUUUCCUUUCUUCUUUUUUUUCUUUUUUUUUUUUCGAUCUCUGGUAAUUCGAAUCGGUCUCUCGAUACUCGGCCGAGAAAAUGAAUAGAAUCGAUCGAUCGAGGAGGAGGAGGGGGGAGGAAGGAGGGGAAAGUAGUAAAUUCACGCGAGUGUUUGGGGGAGGAUUGAUGAGAACGGCUCUCCUCUCUCUCUUUUUCUCUCUCUCUCUCUCUCUUUCUCUCUGGAACGAGACGACGAGCAUCGUUCUUCAACGUUCGACGAAAUUGUGUCCCCAAUGACGAGGAAAUAUCGUCGUUCAAGAAUCAAUCAAGGAGUUAAUCAGAAUCUAUGAAGUUCGUGGACGAAUAUAGAAAUAAUAGCUUUUUAAAUGGCGAGUGCGUGAAUGAACCGAGGCUAAAUUGUUCGCAAGGUUUCCCAGAAGCUUGAUCUCGGGAUAUUAAUCAGGAAAUUGGAAUUGAAGAUUGUGACGCUUCAAAAUUUCGGGCCUUGGAUGAAAUUAUGAUCUUUCGACUGUAAUGGAGUUUUAGAGAAGAUUGAACAAUACUUAAUAUUUGUGGAAAAAUUAACUCAGCGGGGUCCAAUGGGAACAAUGGAGAAGGUUCGAGUGUCGUCUCGUCUCGAGGGAAAAGAGUGGAAAGAGUGGAAAAGUAGGAUGAAACCUACAGCCUCGGCAACGGUCUUGAUUCCUUGGCCGCCAUUUCUAAGUGGCAUCCAGAGUUCUUCGCGUGAGUUCUUCUCUCCGCUCUUCGCUCUCUUUACUCGCACUUUCUUUCUUCUUCCGCCCGCCAAAGAUGUCCCUCCUCUGCUUCGCCAUCGCCAACCCAGCCCAGCCUAUUUUUUCCGCGGCUUCUUCUAAUGGCCUCUCUCGAGGUCUUAUCGGUAACUCGUUCCCUCGAAUCUUUUCCUCGAUGAAGAAUUCUUCCCGCCUCUCCCUCUCUCUCUCUCUCUCUCUCUCUCUCUCUCUCUCUCUCUCUCUCUCUCUCUGUGUCUCUGUUUUCCAGCGCUCUCUAGCAACGUGGCGACGCUGUUGCAUAAAAUCGGCGAGGAAGGAGGGAAAGGAGAGAAGGAGGAAGACGAAGAGGAUGAUGGGGCGCCACUGUAUAAAGCAUCCGAACGUUACGGGCGGGCCUGACUCUUUGCUCUGCCCGUACUUUUUCUCCACUCUGGGUGAGCAAAGUUUCAGGUGUGUCCGUGACAGUCUCUAUCCUCGCGCGAUCAACAUCCUUCGCCCGGCAAACUUGGACGAUCUGCAUUCAAUGUGCUCGUUCAUCGAUUGGAAACAUCGACGACGAUUCGAAGUUGUGCGAAAAGUUGUGUGAUUGUAAAGUCUGUUGCGUUCGAUGGAUAGGCUUGGUUGUGAAACUAAGAAAAUAUCUAUUGGUAUUUGGAGUCGUGGAUUUGUGAAACUGUCCAAUGCCCGGUGGAAUCGAUCUUUUGGAUCGAUACGAGUUUUGAUAAAGAAUAUUUGCUCGAGAUCAUUGGAAUUCUUGGUCUAUGGAUUUUUCAACAAGUUUUAUAGUUGGAAUUAUUUUAUGAUAAAGAAAAUGGAAGAAAUUUUAAAUUCUAAAUAUUAAGAGAAAUGGAUAAAUGUUAAGCAAAAUAAUGAAUUUUAAAUAUACAUUGGUGAUAGAAUGUAUAAGAAAUGAUAUUUAGUUAAGAAUUAAGAGGAUAAGACGGAUGAGGCGAAUAUUUCCAUGGCAAUCAUCGACAGUACUCUUACGCCUGAAAUUUGCUUUUUACCUGGCCCUCGUGCUCUCUUACUUUGAGAAAAUAAAGGUGAGCAAAGUUUCAGGUGUGUGAGUGCGUUGGAAUCAACAAAUAAAUCCGGAUAAUGAAACGUUAAGGCAAAAGUUUGUGAAGUUUCUUCGGGCCAAAAGUUGAAAUUUUAUUCCAACGAUAUUUACUCCAUUUUUGUUAUUCAAAAAAAUUUUAUAAAUAUAUUUAUUGUAUUUUUCCCAAUUAAAAAAGUAUCGAUACACUUAAGGUCUAAUGGAAAA